rnacentral:rRNA from 1 species
AGUGAACGCUGGCGGUAGGCCUAACACAUGCAAGUCGAACGGCAGCACAGAGGAGCUUGCUCCUUGGGUGGCGAGUGGCGGACGGGUGAGGAAUACAUCGGAAUCUACUCUGUCGUGGGGGAUAACGUAGGGAAACUUACGCUAAUACCGCAUACGACCUACGGGUGAAAGCAGGGGACCUUCGGGCCUUGCGCGAUUGAAUGAGCCGAUGUCGGAUUAGCUAGUUGGCGGGGUAAGGGCCCACCAAGGCGACGAUCCGUAGCUGGUCUGAGAGGAUGAUCAGCCACACUCGAACUGAGACACGGUCCAGACUCCUACGGGAGGCAGCAGUGGGGAAUAUUGGACAAUGGGCGCAAGCCUGAUCCAGCCAUACCGCGUGGGUGAAGAAGGCCUUCGGGUUGUAAAGCCCUUUUGUUGGGAAAGAAAUCCAGCUGGCUAAUACCCGGUUGGGAUGACGGUACCCAAAGAAUAAGCACCGGCUAACUUCGUGCCUGCAGCCGCCGCCG